rnacentral:tRNA from 1 species
GUACCCUUAGCUCAGUUGGUUAGAGCUGACGGCUCAUAACCGUCUGGUCGUAGGUUCGAGUCCUACAGGGUACA